ensembl:lncRNA
AUGUAUACCAGAAGCCACAAUGCCAGAUUAAUAGAAACUGAAUUGACAGAAAAGCAAUCUCCGUUGGAUAGCACUGUUGGGGAGAGGACCAUAAAACAAAAUAGAAAGAGAAAGUCAGAGAGAGAGAUGAAAGAUAAAAGAAGAUGUGUGCGGUGAGUGGGUGGAAUCAUAGAAGAGUUGCGAACAAGUGAGAGCAAUAAAAAGAUAUUCAUAGUUUAUAGUGUUUUUUCUUUUUAAGGAGUGACAAAAGUUGAGGGGGAUAAUUUUAUAUCUGUCUCACUGCUGCCUGGAAAAGGAACUUUUCUGUCCACGGUAGGAACACCCUGGCUGGAGUACACUGGGGAUGGAGGAUCACUAACAGGAGCGUGGGAAGACUCCAGAAUCCACUCUGGCUGGAAUCCGGUGGAUACAGCAGUGUUACAGCAGAUAAAGCCAAUGGCAGAAGAUGUUUGGAGAAGAACUUCAGGCCGUGGACUGAAAAGGUAUUUUUUUCUUUUUUUUUUUAACCUGUCCCGUUUGGUUCUUUUGCCAUCAGAAUUAUUGUCUAAAGGCGAAGAAAGAUGCCCAACGGAUUUACUUUACCAAAUGGACCAUCCCAGCCUUGCCGUAAUGGUCCAUUUGAUUCACCUUUUAUUGUUUAUUUUAUUUUCACUUGCUGAAUACGGGACAGAGUUAACUGGGGGAAGGAAAGGGGAGAAAGAAAGAGGGAAAGAAAAACAGCGGGGAAGAGGGACGGGGAAAAAGGGCAAAAAAACAAAAAACCAACAGAAUAAGCAGACAAAAAAAAUACAUAUAUCGAUCAUCUGGAUCACCUGUUGAGGAAGAAAGAGAAAG